rnacentral:pre_miRNA from 1 species
AGGGGAAUUGAGGAGCUUCCUUUAGUCCAAUAUGGAGGGCCUAGGAGCGAUUAGAGCUGCCAUCUCAUGCAUUAGGUUAACUAUACCAAUCGUUUACAAGAAGUAAACAAAUAUUUACAUGCAAUGGAAGGCACAAUAUAAAGAAAAGUUUAGCCAAUGCAUGAAGUGGGAGCAACUCCUUCCGCCUACUUCGCCCACUAAUUGGAAUGGAGGGAGUUCUCAAUCCCACUCCU